UCCCUGGUAGUCUAGGGGUUAGGACUUGAUGCUUUCACCACUGUGGCCUGGGUUCAAUCCCUGGUCUGGGAA
rnacentral:tRNA from 1 species